rnacentral:lncRNA from 1 species
UGUCUCUGUAUCUGAUGCUGGGCUUGAAGUCCAUAGGGUAGGCAGUUAGGAAGGGAAGAUCACAAACAGGCUGGAACCCACAAACAUGAGAUGCAAUCCCUUGUUUGCUCUUGUUGCUUCUGACCUUAGUGGUGAAUGUGUCCUCAACAAGCUGGGACUUUGUCAUGGCCUUAAGCUGAAGGAGGGUCCAGGGAAGGUAAUCAGUUGCAAGCCUGGCUGUUGCUUCACACUAGCCAGGUGAGGCAACAGGUCAGCAGUGAUGUUAGUCAGCUCACAAUGGCUGCAUGGUUCCUUCUCUCCCUCCCUUCACCCCGGGAGCUCAAUUAGAGAACAAAAGUAUCGCCCCAACCCAGUGAUCCAGAAGUCGAACUCAGUCAUUCUGCACAAUAAAGAUAACAGCUGCUGGCUCGGGUCCUAUUUCAGAGCUUUCUAACCCAGUCGUAAACCGGCGAGCUUCGUACUCCUCUUCAUUCAGCCGCAGUCUGUGUACUUGUUCAGCAGCAACGAUAAAGCUGGAGCAGGAGGUGCUUCGAUGGCCAAACAGAACAGCUUGUGGUUUUUGACAAAACCAGCAUUGUUGUGGGUUUUUAUUCUUUAAAAAGCUACAAACAUGGAAUCUUCCUCACAUAUCCAUUAGGUACAUCUAUGGCAAACUCAGGAGUGAUCGUUUAGCUACAAUAUCACAUAGAAAUGAACCCCAAGAGGAGGAGGGCUUUGGUGUGGCAAAUCCAGGGCUUUUCAUCUCCUUUGUUCUCUUUCAGGAGGGAAUUUUCAAAUGACUAACCCAGCACUUUAGUCUUACCCAUACUGUAUGCUCUGAGUGUAUAUUGAAUGACAGUGUUUGGAUUACAUCAGAAUAUAAGGGUUAGCUGAAACCACGCCUCUUGGCCCUUCCUUGAUUAGCGUAGAUCAUGCUCUUGUUCUGCCUGGGAGGCGAAAUCAACAGUGCCAGUGGAGCGCUGCUCACGCUGGCUCCCAUCUCUCCCCGAGCUCUCAUUUAUAUUCCAGAGCCCUUCUAAGUAAGGAUACUACAAAGUGGUUCUGUCCAUUCAGGAGUAAACACAUCUUAGAUGAAAUCUUUCAGCUCAGAUGCAAAGUGCUUUAUUAUCAUCAUGCAUUUUAGACAAAUAACAGCAGUGCUUCUUUAGAUGCACUCCCUGAGAUAGAUAAUGUUCUCCUGGAAAAAUGUAGUACUUCCUGAUGGUCCAAUAUAGUCUGGUUUUAUGAUUACAUUUAGACGGAGCCCUGAGUAAAUGGACGGGAAGGUGGCUUGUGCAUGGUAAAACAGGAGCGCUCUGCAAAUGUUGCAUCCUGACCUAGGAGGCAGUGGUCCAGAGGCACAUCUAUUAUUUCAGGUUGCUUUAUUGGGAGACUCUCGCUGAUCUCAUCUUGGGGACUUCAGGUGUGGGGGCAGAGUUGUAAUUCCAAAGGCUUCUUUGGUCACUUGUUUGAUUAUUUUCCUGUUCAGAGUGAGUCAAAAAUUAGCUAAGGGCUGAGAAGAAAUUAGGGUGGGCAAAGAUGGGUUAAAAGAAGUAAUAUUCUGUCUUUGGUUACUCCACUCAUGUCUUUUUUGUUUCAGUCACAUAGCUCAGAGGGAAACUUAGAGUGUUUAUCAAUGGCCAAGAAGAUCAUCAGUGAGAGCAAUUAAUCAUCCCAAAGAAAAUGGGGCCCCAAACUCUCCCAUAUGGUUUCAAAGCUACAACUUAAAAUAAUUAUUGAAAUAUAAUUGAUAUGCAGUGUUAUAUUAGUUUCAGGGGUAUAACAUAGUGACUUGACAAUUCUAUACAUUACUCAGUGCUCACCACAAGCAAAGUCACUGUCACCAUACAAUGUCAUUACAAUAUUAUUGACUGUAUUUCCUAUGUGGUACUUUUCUUCUCUGUGACCAAUUUAUUUUAUAACUGGAAGUUUCUAUCUCUUAAUGCCCUUAUCUAUUUCGUCCAUCCACCACCUCCCUCCCCAAGUUUGUUUCUCACCAGGUUGUUCCCUGUACUUAUGAGUGUUUCUAGGUUGUUGGCUUUUUUUUCUUUUUUUUAAGAUUCCACAUACAAGUGAAAUUAUGUGGUAUUUACCUUUCUCUCUCUGACUUAUUUCACUUAGCAUAAUACUCUCUAGGUCCAUCCAUGUUCUUGCAAAUUGCAAGAUCUUUCUCUUUUAUGGCUGAGUAAUAUUACUAUAUCUGUCUUCCUUAUCCAUUCAUCUAUUGAUGGAUGCUUGGAUUGCUACUAUAUCUUGGCUAUUGUGAAUAAUGCUGCAGUAAACAUAGGGAUUCAUAUAUCUUUUUGAAUUAGUGUUUUUUUUUUUCUUUGGGUGAAUACACAGUAUUAGAAUUACUGGUCACAUGGUAUUUCUGUUUUUAAGUUUUGAGGAAUCUUCAUAGUGUUUUCCACAGUGGUUGCACCAGUUUGCAUUCCCACCAACAGUGCACAAGUGUUCCCUUUUCUCUACAGACUCACCAGUCCUUGUUAUUGCUUAUAUUUUUGAUACUAGCCUUUCUGACAGGUGUGAGGUGAUAUCCCAUUGUGGUUUUUAUUUGCAUUUCCUUGAUGAUUAGUGAUGUAUUGAGCAUGUCUUCAUGUAAUCAAAACAGUAUGGUUUUGGCACAAAAAUAGACACAUAGAUCAAUGGAACAGGAUAGAGUUCAGAACUAAACCCAUGUCCCUGGCCAUUAGAUGCAGGCAGACAACCUUUGGUUAUUUCCUCCUUGUCGAUGAGAGAGCUCAGAUUGCCUUUAGUUUGGACAAUUCAGGUGAGUUUGCUGGAAGAUCUGUUUGCUGGAUGAGCAUAUGCUGAUUUCUUUUCUGCCUCAUUCCAUCUACCUGAAAUGUAAUUAUUGGGCCUUAGAACUUCCAGGUUUCUUUGGUUUCAUUUACUUGACCAUGUAAUUUUUGAAUUGCUGACCUGCUUAAGGCUGAGUUUUGUAUAAAUAUAAAUAAAAGUGGUCAGUACCCAAGGAGACUUUUCA